CUCGGGUUGGGUCUUCGGGUCCGGGUAAAAUGCCCAUGCCUACUUUAUUUUCUACUCCAAAAUAGAGUAACUCUAAAAUGGAAUUGAGUUUUGUUCCAAUGUAUUACUUCAUUUCCUACUCCAAAAUAGAAUAUUUUAAAUAUAUAUUAUGUUUUAUGUUUAUUAAAAAAUUAAUAAUAUCAUCUUUAAUUUAUACUAUUUGCAAAAUAGUCUAUUUUCAUAUGUAUGAUCUUUUAUGUUUUAUGUUAUAUAUCUUUUGUAUGGUGCUUAUCUUUUAUUUCCUACUCCAAAAUAGAAUAUUUUAAAUAUAUAUUAUGUUUUAUGUUUAUUAAAAAAUUAGUAAUAUCAUCUUUCAUUUAUACUAUUUGCAAAAUAGUCCAUUUUCAUACGUAUGAUCUUUUAUGUUUUAUAUUUUAUAUCUUUUGUAUGGUGCUUAUCUUUUAUUUUUUAUAUGUAUGGUCUUUUAUGUAUUAUAUUAUUAAUAUUUUGUUCCAUAAAAUAGUUCAUUAGAUGGAUAUUUAUAUAAUUAAGAAAUAUUAACAUUAAUUUUUAUAAUAUAUAUAGUAAAAUAAUAUUUAUAUAUUUAUUUAUAAUAAUAUUUUAUUAAAAACGAAAAUAUUUAGAUAUAGAGGACCAUUUUAUAAAUAAAAAAGUUCAACUCCAUUUUGGAGUAAUGAGUUGGUUCUCAUUACUCCAUAUUUGGAGUAAUCAUAUCUAUUACUCCAUUUUGGAAUGGGUUUUGGAGUGGGAUUGGAGAUGAUUUUACUGCAAAAUAGAAUUUAGAGUAGGGUUGGAGAUUCUCUUACUCCAUUUUGGAGUGGGUUUUGGAGUGGGGUUGGAGAUGAUUUUACUGCAAAAUAGAGUUUGGAGUAGGGUUGGAGAUGCCCUUACCCCAUUUUGGAAUGGGUUUUGGAGUGAGGUUGGAGAUGAUUUUACUGCAAAAUAGAGUUUGGAGUGGGUUUUGGAGUAGGGUUGGAGAUACCCUUAGACUUUAAUGUUUUGGUUUUCGAUUCGUUUCAGGUAUAUUGGUUUUUGAUUUUUUCUAUUCUAGAUAUUUACUAACCGUUCGGUUAUUUACAAUAUUCGGUUUGGCUUGUUUUGGUUAUUUAGGUUUCCAGAUAAAACAUAUGCGAUUAUUUAUGAAAUUCGGUUAUUUUGAUAUGGUACGGUUUGAUUCUUCGGUUCCGUAUAGUUUGAUUUUUCGGUUUCGGACGUGUUCAUAUCUAAGGUACAUCUCAUAGCCCAACACAACCAAAUGGUUUACAAGAACUGGCUAAAACACAUACAGUAAACUAUAGUCUAUAGACAAAUGUAUUUGUUGUCAAAUUCAUUACACGACCAAUCACUAGUUGUUACGAGGAAAGUAGGAGAGUGGCGUAAGUGUAAUAAAAGUACUGAACGGAGGUUAAUAACAAAGCCGCGAUGGGGGAAUGGUCAGAACUUAUAGAAGCUCGUAUAAUAAUACCAAAGGGCGUGGGAGAGAGGUCUGCGUAGGGAAACAGAGACAACAUCAUGACCUUUCUUUGCAUGCCUCUCCGUCUUAAAGCUGAAGCUACUUACAUUUCUCUCUUUUAUUUCCAUUUCGAAUUUUCAUUUUGUUUGUCAAUUCCAUUUCAAAUACUCCCUCCCUUUUCUUAAUUAUGAAAGUUACCCAAAUUUAUUAAAUUUAUCCAGAUAUUUUAAGCUAGUCUUCCAGAUUUAUAAUCUUUCUAUCACUUUUCGCUGAUUUUUUAAAUUAAAUAUUUUACAUUUAGUUAAUAACACCAAAUUUUAGAUACAGAAUAUAUUUAUCAGCAAUAUUUUGAUUUUUUUGAAUAACUAUUAAUUCACAACUAGAUUUUGAUCCGCGCUUAAGAAGCGCGGAUUUGAAGUUUUUAAUUUUUAAUAAAUUUUAAAUCUAGUAUAAUUUUUUUUUUUCACAUUAUAACUAUUGACUUUUAAGGUUUUUAUUAUCCAUUAUUUUUUAUAGUGUGAGAUUUAUUUGAAAUAGAUUUAAAGAUGAUAUGUAUGUUUUUAGUAGUAAAGAUAUUCAUUAUUAAAAAUAUAUAUUUUAAUUAUUGAACUGUAUUAACCAAUGUUUUGAAAAUCUGAUCGGACCUUACGAUCGAACCAGUCGGAUCCUGGCUCGCUCUUCUAACUGGUUCUGAAUUAUGCUAAAAACUGAAUUUGAGUUAAAUCAGAUCUAGUUCAAUAUUAAAACCCAGUUUUCGCAAAUCCAAGUUAAAAAUAAAAAAAAUUGCAAAUUUUAAUAAGAUUUCAUCAAAAUUUAAUAUUUUUUUCUACUACAUAUAUAAAUAAAUUAGUUUUAAAAUGGGACAUUAAUAUUUAAAAAUAUGUACAUUAAUAUUAAUCCGUUUGUUAUGACUAUUUCCUUAAGUUAUUUUCUGUAUUAAGAAAAUAAUAAUAAAAUCUUUAGGUAAAAUAUCGUUGUUAGUUACAAUACUUCUUUUUAUACAUUAAGGAAAUUAUGAGUUGAUGUAUGGAAUAUUACUUUGGCUUAAAAAUAGGCUGAAUUAUAUGGUGUUAGUUUAACUAAUAGGUCCAAACAACCUUGCAUAAGUAGAUUUUUUAAGAAUGCUUCCCUUUUAAUAGUAUAGAUUAUUGGAAAUUAGUUUUUUUUUAAUAAAAAUUAUACAUUUAUGUAUUGUGUACAAAAGGUUAUUUGGAAAAUAGAGAGACUAUUGUUUCUGCGAAAGGUUAUACAUUUAUGUAUUGUGUACAAAAGGUUAGUAGGCAUACCAUUUCAUCGUUGAAUCAUGAUGCAAUUGUCUACUUUGUUUUUUCCAAGUUUCCCAUUUUGCUGCGUGGUAUGGACUGAUACAAACGUGGAAUUGAUUGUAUUUCAGACAAAACCUUUGGACCUUUAACUUCAAUCUUCAAAUCAAGCCUAAAUUUAGCCCAGCACAUUUAAAUAAUCAAUAUCACGCAGGGGUAGUUGCAAACAUGAGGGGUAUUGCGUGUAGCACACUCGGUUUCAUUGUAGAUGGAAGUACAUAAGCUGCUCAGUAAGAGCUUAUGUUAUUUUCUUGGUUUUUAGAAGAUUCCAAUGAGCUAUGAAGAUUGUAGCUAUGGCAGAAACUGUGGCAGUACUGCCCAUAUAUGUAAUUGAAGUUACUUGUUAAACUAAUGCAAAUUGCAUAAACAUUUUUCAAAACUGCUCUUCCACGCACAAGGCAACAAUGCUGUCGUCAUCCUAUAAUACUUAAAACAAUGAACAAAGUAACAAGUAAAAAGUUAACAACCUAUUGCACUGUUUAAUGAAUCAUGCAUCACAAAGCUGCUUCCUUUAGCUCAUUAACGGGGACAUCAUCUACAUCCUCCUCAACCAUCUCAUCUCUAAACAAAAUCUUGAAAAUAUGGUAAACCUUGAGGAAGCACUUGCAAAUCCUCCGUGUUUAUACUCAUCAAAUCAAAAGCAAUGCAAGUAUAUUAUUAUGCAUCUUCUCACUCGUAAUUAUAGAAUAGCAACAAAAAAAAAAUAACAACGACUAGCAAACCCAUGAGAUAGGCCCAUAAGUUUUUUUUUGUCAUUGAUUCAACCUAACGGAAAAAGUGCCACGAAUACAAACUGCAAACAAAAUGAAAAAGACAAACACCAGUAGGUGCUUUUUAAAAGUAAACAAAACAGAAACUUCUGCAGAUGAAGCUAACCAAGGAAGCUUGAUUAGGGAAGACCUCCCGGGAGACUGUCUUGACCCAAGCUUCAUGUAGGAUGCUGGUUGAUAGUUGAAAUCACCUCAGCAAGGAUGAGGUCAGAUAACCAAGAUGGACCCCGUACGCCUAUUGUCACGAGUAACACUUUUGGCAAUCUCUUCAGCCGCUACAUUGCUUCUAUCAGGUAACAAGGACUAAUCCCUAACUGGGAUAGCAAAAACGUAUCUGGAAACACCAGCCACAUAUAUGGCCGGACAAACGCCACCACCGACGAACCAUUUAUCAAAACCUCCGUGAGAACGAGAGCUAUGGAUAUGAAACCACCAACUUGAGACUGGACCGGUGAAGAGAACUAAAACACCUUCCUUUCUCUAGCCUCAACCAAGAACACCAAAAAGUUGUAUUUGAGACCGUCAAACAACACAGCCGGACAAAAAAUAUGAGAAGAUGACGAAAUUGGAAUGGAGAAAAUAAACCACAUGAGAGAAAAUAUAAAAAGGAGGAAGAGCCUCCCGGCGGUGAGGAAGCCAAACCACCGGGGAAGCUAUGGAUCUAAGAAUGAAGGUCUUGGCGGCUGGGGACACUUCGAGAGAAAAAAGAUAGGCCCAUAAGUUUAGUGUAGAUAUUCUCAAAGCUGUCUUUGCCCCCAAGUUUUCUGUAUUUAUAAAAGUUUUAAAGGAAACCCUAAACCGAUCGAGUUCUUGCGUCUGUAGAUCUCUCUCUCGCUCUACCCAGUCUUCUGAAUUGAUAUGACAGAAUAUGAGUCGAAGCCGACGACGGGGGUGUGGUGGGACAUCAACACGUGUCUGGUUCCCGGAGGUUACGACCCUCGUCGUGUGCGUCCGAGUAUAGAAGCGGCGUUGUUCAAAUUGAUGGGUCCUCAUCCAGUGGUCAUCUAUUGCGUAGGCAACCUAGAAUAUAUCUCUCGUACUCUCUUGGAAGAGAUCUCUUCCUCUGGAAUCCGUUUUAAACACACCCCCUUCGGUGGGGUUGAAUUCAUCCGCCUUUUGAGAACUUGGUGUCAAGAGCCUGGACAUCCGUCUACAGUAUUUCUCAUAUCCGGUGAUGAAUCGUGGUAUACUCACAGAUUAGCCUGGUCGGGAUUCAGUUGGCUUCGUGCAUAUCCGGCCAGGUCCUGAGCCACUAUCAACUAAAGUUGACUGUCCUUCCGAAAAGUGGCUCUGGAAAGACUUACUUGAAGAGACUUGUGAAGAGCCUCCUCUGAAGAUAAGGAGCAGGAUACUUGAGUAUGAAAAGCCCUUUUAUUGCCGAGUGUGCAUGUUUUAUUUCUCGAGCUUUGAUGUUUUCAUCAGCCAUUUCAAGAGUAGACAACACAAUAAGGUGGUAUGCCAACUCCUACUCUCAGCUUUGUAUCAUUUACAUUUGUUACUUGUCUAACCAGUAGUAUGAUAAUAAUCUCAGUUUGGUAAGCAGUUGCUUCUCAGUGUGAUUCCUUUUGACAUUAACAAUUAUACUGACAAUACUUGCACACUUUGCCAGUAUCCAUAUUACAACGAUGCUAAUAGGAAGCUCCACUUCAACUUAACUUAGUUGCUUACAAACCAACUAGCUACUUUUAUUCUUCUUGUUGUGUAACUUCUAGUUACACAACCAAGUCUUCUUCAUUGACUUCUUGUUCUUCUUUCUUUCUUGCUCUUCACGCUUCUUCUACUUCUUUCUUUGUUUAUUGCACUUAGCUUCUUCUUAUUCUUCCAUUAUAGCUUCUUCGAAGCUACUCUUCUUUGUUCUUCUUCUCUUGGAUAUUUAAUCAUGGUUCAAUCUAAACAUUUUGACAUUAACAAUUAUCCUGACAAUACUUGCACACUUUGUUAGUAUCCAUAUUACAACGAUGCUAAUAGGAAGCUCCACUUGGAAAGUGAUGAACACAAAGAGGCCGCAGCAAGUGUCUCUCAUGAGAAGGCUUCCGUUGUCGUUUCCACUCAACACAAGUCAAGAAAAGGAUGGCUCCAACAGGAAGAUAACUUCAGGAGGUUGGUAGUUUGGAUUUGACCGUGUCAAUUUCUUAUCCGAAAUGUUUGAUUUCCGUUCUAGGUUAUGAGCCGAAGCCGACGACGGGGGUGUGGUGGGACAUCAACACGUGUCCGAUUCCCAAAGAUUAUGACCCUAGUCGUGUGCGUCCGAGUAUAAAAGCAUGAUACGGAGCAUGAUACUUGAGUAUGAAAUGCCCUUUUUUGCUCAGUAUGCACGUCUCAUUUCUCGAGCUUUGAUGUUUUCAUCAGCCAUCUUAAGAGUAGACAACACAAAAAGGAGUUGCUUCUCAGUGUGGUUCCUUUCUACUACAUUAACAAUUAUCCUGACAAUACACUUUGCGAGUAUCCAUAUUACAACGAUGCUAAUAGGAAGCUCCACUUGGAAAGUGAUGAACACAAAGCCGCCGCCGCCGCUGGUGUCUCUCAUGAGACAGAGGCUUCCCUUGUCGAUCCACUCAGCACAGGUCAAGAAAAGGAAGACGCCACCAGGAACAGAACUUCAGAAGAGCCUCUCUCGAAAGAGACUAAUUAAGAAGAAUAAUUAGUAAGGAACUAGACGAAGAAGAAGAGUGCAUGGUCCUAUGUCGUGUUGCUCUUAAUCCUAAAAUAGUACUCUCUGCGUUUUUAUUUUAAUUGUCAGUUAAACUUAUGAUGCUUUUUUCUACAUAUGGAGAUCGGAUAUAGUACCCUGUUAGUUUUGUUC